AUUGCAGCUUUUGCUGUUUACUUUUAGGCAACUAUAUACAGUAUUUGGUGUGUUUUCUCCCACAUUUACGACUCUGUUGAUUUUUGUUUUAACAACAAACAAAUAAAAAUUAAUAAACAUUUUUAAAUGAUUUCUUUAGACUCAUGAUGGGGACAUCCGUGCAGAUGCUUCCUGUUGCCGCAGAGAAGCAUCAGAGCAGAAAAGAGGAAGGAUGUGAAGGCUCCAGAAGAAUUACACAUCAGUGUUUGGUACAAGAGAACCACUCAAACCAUGACUGUAUCAGAUUCUUAUGAGGGGUUUGUCAGAAAUACGCUGCUGUUGAUGGUGGUGAUGUUAAUAAUACCAGUAAUAACUUUUUUUUGAUUACUUUCACAUAUCUCUGUUUUUAUCAAAAAUAGACAACUUGAUAGGCUUCUCUAAAAAACAAAAGCAUUUUGACUGCAUGUUCUUUUUCAUUCUGUAGAUUUCUUACAAUCAAACGGAAAAUAAUCUGCUCAGAUCCCUCCUCACCAUGGGCCAUUAAAUCAAUGAAGUACCUGGAUGCAAAGAACAAACCUCACUCUACAACUCCAAAAUGCGCUCCUCCAGUGGUUUAUAGCACACGGAAAAUAGACAUAGGAGGGCACGCAACACAAAAAACAGAAAGGGAUUGGAGUGGAUCUUCUAAAGUCACAGUUCAACAUAAAAGGACACACAAAACAAAAAACAGAAAACAAGAAAGAGUUUAUCAUCUCAUGAACCAAAUCACCAGAGCAGGAUUGGAGAGAAUCUACUGAAACCACAGAGAUGAUUCAGCAGGAUGGACUGACAUGGGAGGAAGGGAGAGAGACAGAGUCCAUAUUUACAGAAACAACUUCAUCAACCAUUAUGAAUGAGUCAUUUAUUAACAAUGGUUACUUUUGCUUAAAAGGGGAGAAGUUUCAAUACUUGGGGUAAUUUAAUUUUAUAUUAAUUUUAUAUUUAGCAGCCCUAUGAAUGAUUCAUGACCUAUUCAAAUUUUAUCUGUAUAUAUUUGUAUGUAACCAUUUUUGUAUGCAGUGCCUUUUUAAUUGCAUGACUUGUAAUAAAAAAAAGCUGUGUGGAGAAGACAUUUUUAACAUUGCAUUAAGAAAAUGAUGUAAAUUUUGGGUAACACUUUAUAAUAACUUUCAUUAAUAAAUCAUUAACAAGCAUUAUAUAAUGAUUAAUAGAUCAUAAGUUAAUAUAUAUUCAGAUAGCUAGAAACAUGAGAUAAUGUGCUUGUUAAUGUUUACUAAUGAACUUAUUCGACAUUAAGCCUACCUAAUGAUUAACAAAAAAAAAGCUGUGUGGAGAAGACAUUUUUAACAUUGCAUUAAGAAAAGGAUGUAAAUUUUGGGUAACACUUUAUAAUAACUUUCAUUAAUAAAUCAUUAACAAGCAUUAUAUAAUGAUUAAUAGAUCAUAAGUUAAUAUAUAUUCAGAUAGCUAGAAACAUGAGAUAAUGUGCUUGUCAAUGUUUACUAAUGAACUUAUUCGACAUUAAGCCUACCUAAUGAUUAACAGAUAAUGUAAAUUAAAAUGCUUACAAACUUACUUUCAGUUGAUAUGAUCAUGCUCUUGAAAGUGAAAGUCGUGACAUUUGCCAAGUAUGGUAACCCAUACUCAGAAUUGGUGCUCUGCAUUUAACCCAUCCAAGUGCACACACACACAGCAGUGAGAAGUGAACACACCGUAAACACACACCCGGAGCAGUGGGCAGCUAUAUCCAGCACCUGGGGAGCAACUGGGGGUUCAGUGCCUUGCUCAAGGGCAGUUCAGCCAUGGGUAUUGAGGGUGGAACAGAGCGCUGUUCAUUCCCUCCCCACCCACCUACAACUCCUGCCAGCACCGAGACUCGAACCUGCGACCUUCUGGUUACAAGUCCAAUUCUCUAACCAUUAUGCCGCAGCUGCCCCGUUCUCCAAAUGAUUUGAACAGAUAUUAUGCAAUGAUUAAAAGCCUACUUGGUCUCAUGACAUAAAUGUACCUGGGUGCAAUUUUCAAUGAGAUGCUAUAUACAUACCAAUAAGUACAUAUCACUGCAGUUUCCAAAAUAAAUGAACACUAGAGGCAGUAAAACCACACAACCACACACACUAAUCGAUGGCACAAACAGGGAGCGAGACCCAAAGGAACAUGAGACAUCAGAUUGUCACGAGUUUCUCGUAUUGCUGCCGUAGCAU
rnacentral:lncRNA from 12 species